AAAGAUUGCAGCGCAGGUUUGCCGAUGCUAUCGGCGAAAAUGUUGGAAGAUAUCUGCAGAGGCGCAGCAAACAAACGGCAUUUCCGGUGUCCCGAUGUUUCACAUGGUGAGUCAUCUGAGGAAGAGGACGCAACGCUUUCCAACCCAUCAACACAUGAAGAAGGCCCCAGCCUGCAAGUGCCUGGGAAUGAAUCUGCAGCUUCUCAAGGACAACCGCCUCCAGAUAUCUGUACCGUCCACAUCUGCAUUCUUUAACUCUUCCUGUACGAGCCUCAGGGUGUCGCUCUCUUUCAUUCCUCUAACCACGGGCUCGUAUAACCAGGGGCAAGGCGGCGAGAGCACGAUAUGGAUUCCUGUGAAGUAGGCACCACUUCCAUCCGGCGCAUGUGCUGAAGAAGCUCACUAAAUAAAGUUUUUCAUUCAUUCUUUAACUCUUCCUAUAUAGGUCUCUAAAGAGUCCAACUGUUGAAAUCCCGCCUCCUCGGUAAUAGAAAUUGCCACGGUUGCUGCAAAAAUUGCAAAUUGAGUGCUUCAAUUGACAUCCCCCCACCCCUCCCACCCCCGGUAUCUUUUCAUAUUGUGCAGAAUGAAGCAACAGAAAAACAACUUCGAAGAGAGUGUUACAGAGGUACUGGGGUGCUGCAGCUCAACUUUCGAAAAAAAUGCACAAGAGAAUGAGGAGACACAAGCUCAAGAUGACUCGAAAGAGGCAGCAAAUUGGUUUGCCUUCAAAUUAAGAGUAUUUCGGCCAAGGAAGAGUGCGAAGUAAUGUUUGAAUAAGCCAAAAUUGAACAAUUUCAAUAAAUUGAGUUCAAUGAUUUGUGUGUGUGUUUUUCUAAAUGAUAUAGGUGCUCGAGCACAACUGUGUAAAUGUUUACUUCUGUAAUGAAGCAAGACAACCGAUAUCACGAGCAGUUUAACUACACACCUUAAAAAAUAAAAAG